rnacentral:rRNA from 1 species
AUUGAACGCUGGCGGCAGGCCUAACACAUGCAAGUCGAGCGAGCGGCGGACGGGUGAGUAAUGUCUGGGAAACUGCCUGAUGGAGGGGGAUAUCUACUGGAAACGGUAGCUAAUACCGCAUACCAUCAGAUGUGCCCAGAUGGGAUUAGCUCGUAGGUGGGGUAAUGGCCCACCUAGGCGACGAACCCUAGCUGGUCUGAGAGGAUGACCAGCAACACUGGAACGGAGACAAGGUCCAGAAUCCGACGGGAGGCAGCAGUGGGGAAUAUUGAACAAUGGGCGAAAGCCUGAUGCAGCCAUGCCGCGUGUGUGAAGAAGGCCUUCGGGUUGUAAAGCACUGUCAGCGGGGAGGCGUUACCCGCAGAAGAAGCACCGGCUAACGCCGUGCCAGCAGCCGCGGUAAUAC